CCUGGAACAAUAUCCUGGUGCUGCUCGAGUGUUCCCUACAGACUCCAGCAUCAGUGAUUUUGUUGCAGGCG
ensembl:miRNA